rnacentral:rRNA from 1 species
UGUAAGCGUAUACCAAAGUUGUUGCAGUUAAAACGCUCGUAGUCGGAAUUUGGCAGUUUCGGAUGUGUGCACGUCGUGUGCGCACUUCGCGGGGAUUGCUUUUGUGGUCUUGCGUAGGAUGAGGCACUUUUAUUAGUGAACGUCCUCACGCAACCACCUUUUACUGUGAGAAAAUCAGAGUGCUCAAAGCAGGCAUUUGCCGUGAAUGUAUUAGCAUGGAAUAAUAGAAUAGGACUUGGUUCUAUUUUGUUGGUUUGUUGGGACUGAGUAAUGAUUAAGAGGGACAGUUGGGGGCAUUUGUAUUUCGGUGCUAGAGGUGAAAUUCUUAGAUUACCGAAAGACAAACUGCUGCGAAAGCGUCUGCCAAGGAUGUUUUCAUUGA